UACGUAGGGUGCAAGCGUUAAUCGGAAUUACUGGGCGUAAAGCGUGCGCAGGCGGUUUUGUAAGUCAGAUGUGAAAUCCCCGGGCUUAACCUGGGAACUGCGUUUGAAACUACAAGGCUAGAGUGUGGCAGAGGGGGGGGGAAUUCCACGUGUAGCAGUGAAAUGCGUAGAGAUGUGGAGGAACACCGAUGGCGAAGGCAGCCCCCUGGGUUAACACUGACGCUCAGGCACGAAAGCGUGGGGAGCAAACAGG
rnacentral:rRNA from 1 species